rnacentral:lncRNA from 1 species
GUUUCCUGAAUGUUGAUUUUUGGUGUAGCUAUUUUAGAGUAAUCUAUACGGACUAUUGUUAAUUGUUGAUUGUUUUAAGAGAUUUACUGCUGUUAUUCCAUGUUCCAGUUGUUUUUAAUAUUAUUGUCUGGUGAAUAAAAGUUAUUAUACACUUGAAACGAUUUUGUGUUUGCAUUCAGAGCAUCAACGUAAAGGCGGAUCUGAUACCUUAUUACAUUACAUAUAAAAAUACAAUCCGUCUCACACACACACACACACAUAAAAAGGAGACUGCGCUGACCUAGAAACUAUAUUUGUGUGAUAUGCAGUAGCAGUAUUAGUAAUUAUUUCAUGUAUUCUGAGCCUUCAUAUUUCCUGUUAAAUUCUUUUGGUUCGUUGUUGGUGUCUGUCUGGUCUGGUGGUUGGUUUGGUUGGUUAGAAAGGUUCUCACCGGUUUGCGAACACGUUACAAUAUAU